rnacentral:rRNA from 1 species
GAUGAACGCUAGCUACAGGCUUAACACAUGCAAGUCGAGGGGCAGCAUGGUCUUAGCUUGCUAAGGCCGAUGGCGACCGGCGCACGGGUGAGUAACACGUAUCCAACCUGCCGUCUACUCUUGGACAGCCUUCUGAAAGGAAGAUUAAUACAAGAUGGCAUCAUGAGUCCACAUGUUCACAUGAUUAAAGGUAUUCCGGUAGACGAUGGGGAUGCGUUCCAUUAGAUAGUAGGCGGGGUAACGGCCCACCUAGUCUUCGAUGGAUAGGGGUUCUGAGAGGAAGGUCCCCCACAUUGGAACUGAGACACGGUCCAAACUCCUACGGGAGGCAGCAGUGAGGAAUAUUGGUCAAUGGGCGAGAGCCUGAACCAGCCAAGUAGCGUGAAGGAUGACUGCCCUACGGGUUGUAAACUUCUUUUAUAAAGGAAUAAAGUCGGGUAUGGAUACCCGUUUGCAUGUACUUUAUGAAUAAGGAUCGGCUAACUCCGUGCCAGCAGCCGCGGUAAUACGGAGGAUCCGAGCGUUAUCCGGAUUUAUUGGGUUUAAAGGGAGCGUAGAUGGAUGUUUAAGUCAGUUGUGAAAGUUUGCGGCUCAACCGUAAAAUUGCAGUUGAUACUGGAUAUCUUGAGUGCAGUUGAGGCAGGCGGAAUUCGUGGUGUAGCGGUGAAAUGCUUAGAUAUCACGAAGAACUCCGAUUGCGAAGGCAGCCUGCUAAGCUGCAACUGACAUUGAGGCUCGAAAGUGUGGGUAUCAAACAGGAUUAGAUACCCUGGUAGUCCACACGGUAAACGAUGAAUACUCGCUGUUUGCGAUAUACAGCAAGCGGCCAAGCGAAAGCGUUAAGUAUUCCACCUGGGGAGUACGCCGGCAACGGUGAAACUCAAAGGAAUUGACGGGGGCCCGCACAAGCGGAGGAACAUGUGGUUUAAUUCGAUGAUACGCGAGGAACCUUACCCGGGCUUAAAUUGCAGAUGAAUUACGGUGAAAGCCGUAAGCCGCAAGGCAUCUGUGAAGGUGCUGCAUGGUUGUCGUCAGCUCGUGCCGUGAGGUGUCGGCUUAAGUGCCAUAACGAGCGCAACCCUUGUUGUCAGUUACUAACAGGUUCCGCUGAGGACUCUGACAAGACUGCCAUCGUAAGAUGUGAGGAAGGUGGGGAUGACGUCAAAUCAGCACGGCCCUUACGUCCGGGGCUACACACGUGUUACAAUGGGGGGUACAGAGGGCCGCUACCACGCGAGUGGAUGCCAAUCCCAAAAACCUCUCUCAGUUCGGACUGGAGUCUGCAACCCGACUCCACGAAGCUGGAUUCGCUAGUAAUCGCGCAUCAGCCACGGCGCGGUGAAUACGUUCCCGGGCCU